rnacentral:rRNA from 1 species
AUUGAACGCUGGCGGCAGGCCUAACACAUGCAAGUCGAACGAGUGGCGGACGGGUGAGUAAUGUCUGGGAAACUGCCCGAUGGAGGGGGAUAACUACUGGAAACGGUAGCUAAUACCGCAUAACAUCAGAUGUGCCCAGAUGGGAUUAGCUAGUAGGUGGGGUAACGGCUCACCUGGGCGACGAUCCCUAGCUGUUCUGAGAGGAUGACCACCCAAACUGGACUGGAGACACGCGCAAGACUCCUACGGGAGGCAGCGGUGGGGAAUAUUGCACAAUGGGCGCAAGCCUGAUGCAGCCAUGCCGCGUGUAUGAAGAAGGCCUUCGGGUUGUAAAGUACGUUCAGCGAGGAGGCGUUACUCGCAGAAGAAGCACCGGCUAACUCCGUGCCAGCCGCCGCGGUAAUAC